CACUUCUCUCUCUCUCUCUGUUAAAACUACAACAAACCUAUACAUUUCUUUUCUCCUCUCCACCAUUUCAUCUCUUUGAAAAGCUCACAAAUUAUUUAGGUUGAAAGUGUGAACUGGAUAGUGACCUUGGCGAGAGAGACAUACCGUUCUCAUGUAGCAUAAGUUAAAUGUGUUUGAAGCUUGCUAAGGUUGUUAGGAAUCGUGAUAAUUAGGAUAUCCAGGUGUGGUGAAGACUUGCAAGAUGUGAAUGACUUUGGCGAUUGAAAACAUCAAGACUCAAUGUCAUAGUGAGUCAUUUGUACUAAGUCAUCCUUGGCUAGGAAUUCAAGAUCAGCUUAGGGUUAUGUUUCAGAGUUUUGUCCAGGUCUGUUAUUGGGAAGUUUGUUGUUGAAGCUUAAUGCUUAAAUGUGGUAUUGGUAUUGACCUUCACUUGUUGUCAAAUACUUUGUAAGAAAAUAUAUUCAAGUGGUCUAAUAUUUUAUAACCUUGGGCAUUUCUUUGGUCCUAGUUAUGGAAAAGAUUUAGACAGGUUGUCAUUAUGUUUUUUUAGACAAUAUAUUUAAUUGUG